UACAGAGGGUGCGAGCGUUGUCCGGAAUCACUGGGCGUAAAGGGCGCGUAGGUGGCGACCCAAGUCGAUGGUGGAAGCUCGCCGCUCAACGGCGAGUCGGCCACCGAUACUGGGUUGCUGGAGCACUGUAGAGGCAGAUGGAAUUCCGGGUGUAGCGGUGGAAUGCGUAGAGAUCCGGAAGAACACCGGUGGCGAAGGCGGUCUGCUGGGCAGUUGCUGACACUGAGGCGCGACAGCGUGGGGAGCAAACAGG
rnacentral:rRNA from 1 species